rnacentral:rRNA from 1 species
AAAGAGGACUUACAGAAAGAACUGAAGUAGUUGAAGGGGUUUGCCAUCCUAUAAGAACAAUAUCAACCAACCAAACCCUGCCCUCGAUCUUCCAUGGACUAAACAACCAUCCAAAGACUACACAAGGAUGAGCCUAUGGCUCCAUCUGCAUAUGAAGCAGAGGAUAUCCUUUUCAGGCACCAAUGGGAGCAAAUGCCCUUGGUCCUGUCAAGGCUUGAUGCCCCAGUGUAGGGAACUGUCAGAAUGGGCAGGUUGGAAGGAGUGAGUGGGUGAGUGAGGAACUGCCCUCAGAACAGGAGGCAUGAGGGGAAAUAAUAGCUGGUUUCUGGAGGGCAAAUCAGGAAAAUCAUAUUUAAAAUGUGAAUUAAAAAAAAUCCCCUCCCCCAAUGAAAGAAAAAGAAAGAGAAAUGGAGAAAGAAAAAGAAAAACAAAUGGGGGUACAUAACUAAACAGAUGCCCACUGGGGAUGCGGCGGCGUUAUUCCCAUGAUAGUCAAGCAUCUUCUGGGAAACCAAAGUCUUUGGGUUCUGGGGGAGUAUGGUUGCAAAGCUGAAACUUAAAGGAAUGGACAGAAGGGCACCACCAGGAGUGGAGCCUGCAGCUUAAUUUGACUCAACACAGGAAACCUCACCGGGCCCAGACACAGACAGGAUUGACAGAUAGAUAGCUCUUUCUCGAUUCCGUGGGUGGUGGUGCAUGGCCGUUCUUAGAUGGUGGAGUGAUACGUCUGGUUAAUUCUGAUAACAAACUAGACUCUGGCAUGCUAACUAGUUACAGGACCCCCUGAGCGGUCGGCGUCCCCCAACUUCUUAGAGGGACAAGUGGCAUUCAGCCACCUGAGAUUGAGCAAUAACAGGUCUGUGAUUCCCUUAGAUGUCCGGGGCUGCAUUAGCGGCACACUGACUGGCUCAGCUUGUGCCUACCCUACAAAGUCAGGCGCGGGUAUCCCAUUGAACCUCAUUCGUGAUGGAGAUCGGGGAUUGCAAUUAUUCUCCAUGAACGAGGAAUUCCCAGUAAGUGCUGGUCAUAAGCUUGCGUUGAUUAAGUCCUUGCCCUUUGUACACACCACCCUUCCCUACUACCAAUUGGAUGGUUUAGUGGGGCCUGAUCGGCCCAUGGCCCUGUUGGAGGGCUGAGAAGAAGGUCGAACUUGACUGUCUAGAGGAAGUAAAAGUUGUAACAAGGUUUCUGUAGGUGAACCGGUGGAAG